rnacentral:misc_RNA from 1 species
GUAUAGUAGUGCUUGUGCACAACAAGAGUUUCAUUACAUUCGAGUUUGUGUAAAAUUCCUCUGCCGGCCGAAGCUAGCAAGAGGCCAAAGGUUCACAGGGGUAUUGGAUGAAAGCCACCGCCGUGCACUUGCCAGUUCUGGCCAGCACAGACGGCAACCAUUCGUAAUCAUUAAUGAUCCUUCCGCAGGUUCACCUACGGAAA